rnacentral:rRNA from 1 species
GGAAAGAUGAAAAGAACUUUGAAAAGAGAGUUAAACAGUACGUGAAAUUGUUGAAAGGGAAACGAUUGAAGUCAGUCGUGCUGGCGCGAAAUCAACCCUCUCGUCGAGAGGACACAUGGUGUGGCGAGCCUCAAAACCGUCACGAAGCGUGAACUCUUGGCGAAAAGGAGCACUUUCGUGUCCGCUGGUUAACAUCAAUUUCGAACGUCAUAAAAAGGCUGGAGGGAUGUGGCUCCUUCGGGAGUGUUAUAACCUUUAGCGGAAUGUGGUGGUCGGGAUUGAGGAUUGCAACGAAUACCUUUAGGGCUGUUCCACCUGGCUUCUCUUUGGUAUCCUGGUGACGACAGCUUGCUGACGUUGUUAGGAUUCGCCUUUGAACAGGCUAGAGUGUGAGCAAAUUCGUUAAGGAUGUUAACGUAAUGGCUUUAAACGACCCGUCUUGAAACACGGACCA